rnacentral:rRNA from 1 species
AUCCUGGCUCAGGAUAAACGCUGGCGGCGUGCUUAACACAUGCAAGUCGAACGGAGAUCCUCGGACGAUUGAAGGCUUGCCCGGAUAGAGUCUUGGAAUACUUAGUGGCGGACGGGUGAGUAACGCGUGGGUAACCUGCCUCACACAGGGGGAUAACAGUUGGAAACGACUGUUAAUACCGCAUAAGCGCACAGUAUCGCAUGAUACAGUGUGAAAAACUCCGGUGGUGUGAGAUGGGACCCGCGUCUGAUUAGCUAGUUGGUGAGGUAACGGCCCACCAAGGCGACGAUCAGUAGCCGGCCUGAGAGGGUGUACGGCCACAUUGGGACUGAGACACGGCCCAAACUCCUACGGGAGGCAGCAGGUGGGGAAUAUUGCACAAUGGGGGAAACCCUGAUGCAGCGACGCCCGCGUGAGUGAUGAAGUAUUUCGGUAUGUAAAGCUCUAUCAGCAGGGAAGAUAAUGACGGUACCUGACUAAGAAGCACCGGCUAAAUACGUGCCAGCAGCUGC